rnacentral:rRNA from 1 species
GCCCCGAGCGAAGCGGGAAGAGCUCAAAUUUAUUAUCUGGCACCUUCGGUGUCCGAGUUGUAAUCUCUAGAAGUGUUUUCCGCGUUGGACCGCACAGAAGUCUGUUGGAAUACAGCGGCAUAGUGGUGAAACCCCCGUAUAUGGUGCGGACGCCCAGCGCUUUGUGAUACACUUUCAAUGAGUCGAGUUGUUUGGGUUUGCAGCUCAAAUUGGGUGGUAAAUUCCAUCUAAAGCUAAAUAUAGGCGAGAGACCGAUAGCGAACAAGUACCGUGAGGGAAAGAUGAAAAGCACUUUGGAAAGAGAGUUAACAGUACGUGAAAUUGUUGGAAGGGAAACGCUUGAAGUCACACUUGCUUGCCGGAGCUUGCUUCGGAUUGCAGGCCAGCAUCAGUUUUCCGGGGUGGAUAAUGACGGUUUGAAGGUAGCAGUCUCGGCUGUGUUAUAGCUUUCCCUUGGAUACAUCCUGGGGGACUGAGGAACGCAGCGUGCUUUUUGCGAAAGACUCGUCAUUUUCACGCUUACGAUGCUGCUGGAAUGGCUUUAAACGACCCGUCUUGAAACACGGACCAAGGAGUCUAACAUGCUCGCGAGUAUUUGGGUGUCAAAGCCGGAUGCGCAAUGAAAGUGAAUGUAGGUGGGAACCGCAAGGUGCACCAUCGACCGAUCUGGAUUUUUUAAGAUGGAUUUGAGUAAGAGCGCGUAUGUUGGGACCGGAAUGAUGGUGAACUAUGCCUGAAUAGGGCGAAGCCAGAGGAAACUCUGGUGGAGGCUCGUAGCGGUUCUGACGUGCUAAUCGAUCGUCAAAUUUCCCU